UAUUUCAAGGUAAUGCCAAGCUUAAACCAAAUUAAAAUGUAAAAAUUAUUAUCGCAUUUCGGUUAUCAGGAAUGUGUUAAAAAAAUAGAAGCUCUAGAUGGCUUAAAAAGAGCUUAAAUUGACAUUUUUCUUACACUUUUAAAGAUUACUCACUUAAGAACAAACAACACGUCUACCUUGUCUGGCUGUCAUAGACACUCAGUAGUAGCGCAUUAAAAUAGGAGGCUACUCUACAACAUUUUGAACGUAAUUGUGAAUAUUUAAAAUCUAUAAUUGAAAUUAAAGGCAUUAAGGAACCUUAAAUUGGUUGAUUAAGAAAUUUUUUUAUCUCCGAAAUGACUCCUCUUCUUUAAUGAUUAAUUCUUUAUACGACAACCGACUAGUUGUCUAGUGACAAAGUACUUUAAGUAGGGGAGGUACGCGUUUAAAUUUAGGCAUGAAUUAUGCGCUUAUUACUCAAUAUUGACCACUAACUUGGAUGUACAAUUGGUAUACAAUGUUCACAAGUUUGGACGAUAAAAGUAGCAGUACCAGUGUCAUAUACCUUAUUUCCGGAUAUGAACGAAGCGCAAGAUUAACGAUUACGAAAUUAGCAGGAAAGAAAUUAACGCGAAUGCCUAUAACAAUUUAUAAAAAAACAAUUAAUGCGAUUUAGCUGAGCUGACUUAACAAAAGCAUUAAAAUAACGCGACUCAGAAAUAUAUUUCUUUCGAAAAUGGAUUCAUUGACAACAAGUUUCUCAUCCUAAAUCCUCUUGAAAUAUGCUAGUUGUUGUUGGCCAUAUUUUAAGAAUUUUCCCCGAACAGCGACCUUUGUAGUGUUGUCAGUCAAUUUGGUGCCAUCUACUGACCGACAAUUGGCCUGUGUGGCAGACAGGCAAGUUAAAGCAAUGCUAUACGUAUCUCUAGCGGUAAUGUAACAUAGUUACAGUCGGAGGAAGAGCCAGCUGUUAGGAUGGAAAUCCCAAAGGACGUUUAACGUUUCGUUACUUACUUACAAACUUGUGUGUCCCGGCCUGGAUUAUUUUGUUGCGCAGGCAAGCUGGAGAAUGUCACGAGAAAAACUUAAACGCUUUCAAUCUUGCCUACAUGUGAAUAGAAGAAGCGAAUUUACAGUCUGUUGGCGCAGUGUAUUCACCAUUCUACCUCUUUGACUGUGUUUAAAAAACUGAAGAAGUAAAGUGCUUUUUUUUCAAUUAUUCUGUCCAAAAAUUGUA